CUGUAAAAUCUAUGGUUAUUUGCUAGGUCUUAUGUCUAUCUAAUUUCAUGUUGGUGAUAGCUUUGUCAUGCAUGAGCAGUAUUUCUUUAUAUUUUACAGAUUUAUUUGCCUAUAGAGCACAAGCAGCAGGCUCCUAAUUCAAAGGUUAUGGUCACACUUAAGGGUAUCAAAGGGAACACAGCUUGUCCAAGCUGCAACAUUGAUAUGCAUGGAUCAGUCUUCAUAUUAUUUCUUGAAGGGCUUGAGAGCAGAUACUUUCAUUAUUUCCAUGCAUGGAAACUGAAAUGAUGAUGGUCCUUGUGUAGAGAUCUAGACACUUUGUUCCCAAGGUGAUGUGAAAUGGUGCCAAGUGCUGUGUAUGUCUUCUGCCUUCACUCUACUAAACCACUACUGCAUGGAUCUUCAGUAUCUUCAAUUAGUACUGGAUGAGAGUGGUUGUUUUCCAAUGGCUGUAAGCAUGAAAUCACCUGGCCUUGUGCAGAAGAUGAAUCUAUGAAUCGAUCAACCAGAUGUAUACCUCUAAUUUAAAGUGCUAAGUUUCGGAAAUAUGUUGGUCACUCGGCCCAUGUCAUCAGUGUUAGAUUUUCCCAUGAUAAACAACGUGUGAUAUCAAUUGGAGGUGCAGUGUUCCGGUGGAAAUUUCUAUCGGAGGGUCACUCAGAGAACGAUA